rnacentral:rRNA from 1 species
GAGCUUGCUCUGGCUGACGAGUGGCGCACGGGUGAGUAACGCGUACACAACCUACCUACAAGAGGGGAAUAGUCACGGGAAACUGUGAAUAAUACCGCAUAAUAUUAACUUUUAGAAUGAGAGGUUAAUUAAAGCUACGGCGCUUGUAGAUGGGUGUGCGUUCCAUUAGCUAGUUGGUACGGUAACGGCGUACCAAGGCGACGAUGGGUAGGGGGCGUGAGAGCGUGAUCCCCCACACGGGUACUGAGACACGGACCCGACUCCUACGGGAGGCAGCAGUAAGGAAUAUUGGACAAUGGGCGGAAGCCUGAUCCAGCCAUCCCGCGUGUAGGAAGACUGCCCUAUGGGUUGUAAACUACUUUUAUUAGGGAAGAAACCCCGAGACUUGUCUUGGGCUGACGGUACCUAAAGAAUAAGCACCGGCUAACUCCGUGCCAGCAGCCGCGGUAAUACGGAGGGUGCGAGCGUUAUCCGGAAUUACUGGGUUUAAAGGGUGCGUAGGCGGUUUAAUAAGUCAGAGGUGAAAGGCACGAGCUUAACUGGUGAAUUGCCUUUGAUACUGUUAGGCUAGAAUUAUGUUGAGGUUAGCGGAAUGUGACAUGUAGCGGUGAAAUGCAUAGAUAUGUCAUAGAACACCGAUUGCGAAGGCAGCUAACUGGGCAUUAAUUGACGCUGAGGCACGAAAGCGUGGGGAGCGAACAGGAUUAGAUACCCUGGUAGUCCACGCCCUAAACGAUGCUAACUCGAUGUU